rnacentral:tRNA from 1 species
GCCUGGGUGGCGGAAUGGUAUACGCGCAGGACUCAAAAUCCUGUGACCGCAAGGUCUUGUGGGUUCGAGUCCCACCCCAGGCA